AGGAGGAAGCUGAGGUUGGGAAAGGUGGAGGGACUUACCCAAGUCACACAAAUGACAACUCAGCAGAGCUGAGAAUUGGCACCCAGGGCAACUGGAGUCCAUCCUGAGCUUGUCACUGCUGGGCUCUGAGACCUCCUGGUGAAGAAGGACAGUGGCAGAGACAGACCGACCCAGAGAAACCCAGCAACGCUACUUUCUAAGGACAUUUUUCCCUCUCAUUUGGAAUCCUGAGCCUCCUGCUCAUCCUGUAGGUCACACCCAGCAAACAGGCGGGUUUCAUUUCCUGGAGAAACCACAGAUGGAAAGUCCCAGCCAUGGGCUCCGUGUGACCUGGUGGCCUUAAGAAGCUCCCCCCACCGCCCCUCAGCCCUUUAAUCAUUUACAAAGCAGGGCCACACAGAGCAUCUAUUUUCUUUCUGGAACAUCAGAGCUGGCUGGGAACUGGGAGAAGAGCUGGAGCAACAGCCUGCAUCCAUUUCCUCUUGCUGCAAUAACAACUGAUCACAAGAUGGAGUCUCACUCUGUCAACCAGGCUGGAGUGCAGUGGCGCAAUCUCGGAUCACUGCAGUCACCUCCUCUCAGGUUCAAGCGAUUCUCCUGCCUCUGCCUCCUGAGUAGCUGGGAUUACAGAAUGUGAGCAUGGAGUCUGGAGCAGGAGCAGCUGUUGUGCACUGUGAGGUUGAAGCCGUGUGUUGAGAAUAGCAGAGCAACAAAGCAAUAGGAGCUGGAGCCCCCAGGGGCCAUGAAGCCCCUACCAGCCCUGGACUGCUUAGAUUUACUUGAGCAAGAAAUAAACCCUUGAUUGUUUAAA